rnacentral:lncRNA from 1 species
AGGACAGACUGUGGGGGAGACAAGAGCCUGCCUGUCUUUACAGAUGAAAUUUUCUUGUUCUCUUCUGUACUGAGUGUUUCCCAAGCAUGCAGGUGACAAGCUUAUUAAUUUUGGUGUGCUUUAUAGCAGCGUUUCAAGUCUUCUCUAGACAAUCUGAUGCUGUGGCAGAGCCUCCUCUCCAGUCAACUGCAAGUGGGACUCCUAUGGCCCUUGGUCAGAAUGCAAUGGCUGUACCAAGACUCAGACUCGAAGGCGUUCAGUUGCUGUUUAUGGGCAAUAUGGAGGCUAUCCAUGUGAGGGGAGUGCUUUUGAAACACAAUCCUGCAAACCUGAACGAGGCUGUCCGACGGAAGAGGGCUGUGGGGACCGGUUUAGGUGUUUUUCAGGUAAUUUGUUUUCCAUGGGCUUAGCCUGCAAACAGUAAACUAAAAUAUCAUUUGUUGACCGGUUUGAUACAUAUUUGUUUGGGUUGAUAUUGGCUUCCAGAUUAAUUUAACCCAAGUAUUUUUAUUAGUGUAUUAAUACAUGAUCAGAUAAACCACAUAGUAGAUACCGUCCAUUCAAAAAGCAAGAGAGAAAUCUGAUAAUAAAAGUAUGAUUAUUCUUUGGCAUGUUGACUGAAUUACAGCUAUUAACAGCCUCAACUGUGUAUACAUAUUAUAUAUAUUUACAUAUAUCUGCAUAUCAUAUUCAUACAUAUACAUAUACAUCAUAUACAUAUGUAUGUGUACAGGUUCCUCUGUCUCUGCUUCCUGAGUUCUGGGCUUAAUGGCAUGUACCACCAUAACCUACAGCACAUUGGAAAUUUAGAGACAGAUUAUUUGAUAAAGAAUUACUGUGUUAGAAUUUUUUAAAUUAGUUUUUAAGAAUGUCAUACAAUAUAUUUUGAUCACGUUUUCCCCCUUCUCCAAAUCCUUAUAGAUCAUCCCUACCUCUCUACCCACCCAAUUUCAUGUUCUUCGUCUCUCAAAUAAAAUGAAAAACUCUCAAGUCAAGAAAAAAAAGUAAAAAAAUAAAUCCCAUGAAACCAUAAGAACAGAAAGCACACAAGAAAACAUGGAGUGACUUUUGUAUUGGCCAAACUACUCCUGAGAACGAGGACAGCCCUGUGUGGUUGCUAUACUUAGUAUCAUCCCUCUGGAGAAAAUAUGUUUUCCUUUGUUAGUGGGUAUAGAUUGCAAAUAGCUUCUUCAUUAGGAAUGGGACCUUGUGUCUAUUUUUUCCUUCUCAGUGCUGAGACCCCAUUUGACCUGAGCUUAUGUGGAUCUUGUGCAUAUAUAUGUAUGUUGUCAUAUACAUAUGUUGUCAUAUAUACAUAUGUUUAUUAGCUUUUUUUCUAUCUGGAAAAUGCUAUUUGCUGGAGUAAUUCACCAUAUCUAGUUCUUACAGUUUUUUUUUUUUCACCUCCUCUUCUGCAUAGAUCUCUGAGCCUUGAGGAGAGGGUUGUGGUAAAGACAUCUCAUUUAGGAUUGAGUGCAUCCAGGCCUACAGCUGUUCUUCAAUAAGACUUGUAAAGCUCCUAUUUUAUUUUGAAACUCAAGUCAGAUGAUAGCUGCUUUGAGAAGCUUUUGCUAAUCCCUCAGGUGUUAGAAUUAAUCAACAAAUCACUUCUCAUUGUGUAUCUUACACUCUCUGUGAUCCAAAUUGGUGACCUGUACAUCUCUCUGCACUUUUGUAGACAUAAGCUUUAUUUUGUUUAUUUUCUCACAAAGUGCCUGACUCUCAACAGAUGUUUGCUGCAUUGCUUUGAGUGACAUGUAGAUUGAGCUAUGUGUUAUACUAUAAAAAUUUCUGGGCACUAAGCAUCCGUUGAAUAGAGGAAGAAUGCCCUCCAUAGUCUAAGGGAUAAAGAUAGCUUUCAAAAAGGGAUAAUAUUUAAUUUGAUAUAUGAAGAAACAUCAGAGAGGAAUAGAGAAAAUCCUAGAAAGAGAAAGAUGUAUACAUUGAGAUGACAGGAAACUUGGACCUGUAUUCAUGCAAAUGAUUCAGUAUGCUGUGGGCAUAGGAAGAUGGUCCAAUAUGCAGAGAGCAUAAGGAAAAGUCUGGGAUGAUGCUGGGAAGGAAGACAAGGCCAAGAUCAUCUUGUACCCAGUUGUGCAGUGGUUCUCAACCUUUCAAAUGCUGCACGUCUUUAAUACAGUUCUUUAUGUUGUGGUGACCCCUGACCGUAAAUUAUUUUCAUUUCUGUUUUAUAUCUGUGUUUUUCUACUGCUAUGAAUCAUAAUGUAAAUAUCUGAUAUGCAACUCCUGUUGUUUGACCCCCGAAGAGGUCACGACCCAUAGGCUGAGUAACACUGUGUUUGUGCUUUCUUGGAAUUCUGAGCUAUCAGGAAAAGGAUGCCGGCGUACAAUGGUUCCUGUCUUCAUGGUCUUCACUAGCAGAUUACACAGCAUAUGAAAAGUUUGGUGAUGACCAUACCAUACAUAUUUGUUUCUCAGCACCAGGAAGUAUUCCACAGAGUUGAUGCUGAAAAAUGCUGAGUUUCAACCUUCUGAUUCAGGUUCUUUGCUUUGAAAAAUUACACAUUAGUCCAUGAGAAAAGCCACAUGUUUGCCAUCUUGGUUAAAAAUUACAG